rnacentral:rRNA from 1 species
GACGAACGCUGGCGGCGUGCCUAAUACAUGCAAGUUGAGCGCUGAAGGUUGGUACUUGUACCAACUGGAUGAGCAGCGAACGGGUGAGUAACGCGUGGGGAAUCUGCCUUUGAGCGGGGGACAACAUUUGGAAACGAAUGCUAAUACCGCAUAAAAACUUUAAACACAAGUUUUAAGUUUGAAAGAUGCAAUUGCAUCACUCAAAGAUGAUCCCGCGUUGUAUUAGCUAGUUGGUGAGGUAAAGGCUCACCAAGGCGAUGAUACAUAGCCGACCUGAGAGGGUGAUCGGCCACAUUGGGACUGAGACAUGGCCCAAACUCCUACGGGAGGCAGCAGUAGGGAAUCUUCGGCAAUGGACGAAAGUCUGACCGAGCAACGCCGCGUGAGUGAAGAAGGUUUUCGGAUCGUAAAACUCUGUUGGUAGAGAAGAACGUUGGUGAGAGUGGAAAGCUCAUCAAGUGACGGUAACUACACAGAAAGGGACGGCUAACUACGUG